rnacentral:rRNA from 1 species
GACGUAGGGCGCGAGCGUUGUCCGGAAUUAUUGGGCGUAAAGAGCUCGUAGGCGGCUUGUUGCGUCGACUGUGAAAACCCGUGGCUCAACCAUGUGGUCUGCAGUCGAUACGGGCAGGCUAGAAUUCGGUAGGGGAGACUGGAAUUCCUGGUGUAGCGGUGAAAUGCGCAGAUAUCAGGAGGAACACCGGUGGCGAAGGCGGGUCUCUGGGCCGAUAUUGACGCUGAGGAGCGAAAGCGUGGGGAGCGAACAGG